CCCAGUGCCUGGCAUGUACUGGGGAAUAGAGAGGUGGCUGGGGGUUUAGGGUGCACAGGAAAGGGAAGACCCGCAGGAAGGCAGGCUGAGAGUGGGGAGCUAAGUCCCCUAGUGGGAAAGACUGAUCUCCACAUCAGGAGAUGAUCUGUGGUCCUGCUCCAGACCAAGAAGUGGGCCCUCCUCCAUGUGCCCAGGCUGACAGUCUCCCGCUCGCCUGCCCUGCUCCUGCACCCCACUUUAGGGCAAUCCUGGGGGCACUGCCAGAGAACUGGGAGGCCUCCCUGGAGAUCUAGGCUCUUCUGGCAGAUGCCCAUCCCCCUUUGUCCUGGGGCCUCUCGUUUGCCAAUCCCAGGAAGCCCCUUGCUCAGAGGGAACUGAUUUCCCCUAGACAGCCUUGCUCCUCCCGCUGCAGGACUCUCAGGGAGCCCUAAGAAAUACCAUGGGCUGUGGGCAGCCGCCGAGCCUGCUUCAGAUCCAGCUCUGCCUGAUAGGUUCUUCUUGCCCACUGCCCUGAAAAUACCAAUGCACUGAGAACAGCAGGUGCUGCAGCAAAGAAGAAUUGGAUGAUCCCAUGGCCAGCCAAGCAGGACGGAAGAAAUUUCUCAAAUCCACUUCCCUGAGAUUCAGAGGUGUCUAAACUGUCUUCACACAGCUCAGUCAGUUCCCGGGAGGCAGUCUCAGGACCAGCUGACUUCUCUCGGUCUGUGGAAAUGCUACAUCUGAAAACCAUAUCAAAGACCCAGCGACUUCUGGCUGAUAGGGGCUGGGACUCCCUGCCUGGCCUUGGGCACACACAGGAGCUAAACAACUCUUUGUGGAAUUACCUUUUAGUUUCUUUAUUCUUUAGGUUUCACAAUAGCGAUGUUAUCUAUAGAAGUAGUUGGGGAAGUUAUAAAUCUUGAAACCUCUAGUUAUGUGACUCUGGGGCAGUCAACAAGCUAAGUGAUAUUAGCUUAGCUAACUUAGCUUAGCUUAAGUGACUAAGCUAAGUUAUGGAAAAACAAGCUAAGUGAUGGUUCAAGCCCCUACCAUAAUUCUAACUUCUUGACCUUUCAUUAGCCUUUACAAAUGUGGUUUCAAUUUUUGAACAGGUAGGGGAUCAGUUCACGGAAAGGACUAUUAUGGCCUCCACACAAGAAUGAGCUAAAGCUGGUAGAAAACCUGGUAGAAACAAGAUGGAGUCGGUUACAUCAGAUUUCCCUUACUAAAAUUUUUGCAAAGGCAGUUUCAUCUAUUCCUCCCUCAGACUGGGGCUCCCUCGGGGCAGGGCCAUGUCUCCUCCCUCAGACGGUCUCCCCUUCCUCUCGGCUCCUCUUGCAGGCCCUGGCCUCUGGGGAGAAGGGAUGUUCUUACCAAUUUCUGGAGUAACGGCCAGCCAAUUAAGGUCUGAGCUGGCUGGAACCCAGCUCUCCUGAUGCUUGGCCAGGAGUCUGUCCCCUACCCGGAACAUCCUUAAACUCCUAAUUAUUGCCCUUGAUCUAUGAGCUCCGUGGUCAGCUCUGCCCCCUGUUUGUUCUCUGCUCCCUGUUUGUUCGCAAAAGUUUUGGGAGGCCUGGCCACCAAGCCACUGUCUCCCUAACUGAGGAAGAGGGCAGUCCGAGGGCUGAUACUCCAUAUCUCACCCCUCCCUGGGAGCUAUUAGGCAAGUGAGGUGUUUCCUUUUCUAAAGCCCUCGCUGUUUAGCUACAGGAUUAGUUCUAGUCCAUUUACUCACCAAGUUUGCUGGCCAAACACUGAGACCAGAAAAGCACAUCUCCCUUGCAUAAUAAAUGUUUAAUAAUGACAGUUGGAUUUGGACAGAAAAUGCCCUGGCUGGCAGGCCCGAAGCAACAUUAGCUCCAGAGAGCGUUUAAAGUUCAGCUCCAUUGCCCCCAUCUACCUACACACCUGCUUCCAGGCACUGGAACAUGCAGGCAGCCUUCCUACCUGCCUCCUUCCCACCUACCCACCCUGUGAUGGCAGAGUCAGCGGGAGUUACCCCUUCCCCACCUGUCCCAGGGUCUACUGGGUUUCCGUGUGUGGCCUGUUUCCUUCCUCAACAUCGGAGCUCCCCCAGGGCAGGGCUGUGUGUCCCCCUCAGACUGGGGCUCCCUGAGGACAGGGCUGUGUCUCCCCCAACACCCACUCCAGCCUGGGAUCUCCCUUCUUCAGGCCUCCCUGCUCAGCUCAGCACAGAGCUUGUUCCAUCAGAGGUUGUGGUGUGCCCAGGCUCCAGGAUCAUUUGUAAACAAAGGCCAGAUUCUGUGUCGGUGCUGGCAGAUGUUAAAGAUAACCCCUCUCAGCCCUUUAGGAAUUAGUCUAAAAUACAUGAUUGUAUUUCAGGAGCCUUAAGGGUGUUUCUGAAACCUUGGGGCCCAAGACAGUUAUAACAUAUGUCCAUUUUAGACUUUGGAAAAUAGGGCGCUAUAAUUGGAAAAGCUAGUGCAGUGCUAAGUACAGGGAGCCGGUCUCUUUACAUCUCAAAUACCAGGUAUUUAGGUGGCUUUCUUGGAACCUGGCAUUAGGGACACGUGUGAACGGGCCAGGCUCAUUUCUGAGGAGUGAGUGGGAGCGGCCAGUGAGGGUGCUCAGGUGGGGUGGGCAGCACCAUCUCUGAGCCCUGAAGCUAAUGCUCCUGCUCCUGGGACAUGGACCCCAGACUCGCCCCCUUCGCCCUCUUCUCUUCUAAUCUGGGCUUUCUCGGUCCCCAGGAGCACUUGGUAGACUCAAGGUUGGAAAUUGUGCCCUAAACCGUGCCAGACCCUGGCUUUCUCCAAAGGUGGAAAAUGGGAGCCCUACUAUUUGCCGGAGUGUGGUUGCUAUGCCUUGGGUACUGGCGCCAGACUGUCUGAGUUCCAAUCUUACCAUCCCCAUUCAGGCAAGUUACCUAACCUUUCUGGGCCUCUAUUUCCUCAUCUAUAAAAUGGGAUGAAAGUUAUAAUACCUACCUGCCAGGAUUGUUGAGAUGAUUAAUGCAAUAAUUUACAUGAAGCAUUUUGCACAGUGGCUGGCACAUAGUAAG
rnacentral:lncRNA from 1 species